rnacentral:rRNA from 1 species
AUGAACGCUGGCGGCGUGCCUAAUACAUGCAAGUCGAGCGAACAGACGAGGAGCUUGCUCCUCUGGCGUUAGCGGCGGACGGGUGAGUAACACGUGGAUAACCUACCUAUAAGACUGGGAUAACUUCGGGAAACCGGAGCUAAUACCGGAUAACAUGUUGAACCGCAUGGUUCAACAGUGAAAGACGGUCUUGCUGUCACUUAUAGAUGGAUCCGCGCCGCAUUAGCUAGUUGGUAAGGUAACGGCUUACCAAGGCAACGAUGCGUAGCCGACCUGAGAGGGUGAUCGGCCACACUGGAACUGAGACACGGUCCAGACUCCUACGGGAGGCAGCAGUAGGGAAUCUUCCGCAAUGGGCGAAAGCCUGACGGAGCAACGCCGCGUGAGUGAAGAAGGUCUUCGGAUCGUAAAACUCUGUUAUUAGGGAAGAACAAAUGUGUAAGUAACUAUGCACGUCUUGACGGUACCUAAUCAGAAAGCCACGGCUAACUACGUG